UGGGGUGUGGCUCAGUGGUAGAGUGCUUGCCUCGAAUGCAGGAGGCACUAGGUUUGAGCCUCAGCACCACAU
rfam:Ictidomys tridecemlineatus contig007413, whole genome shotgun sequence.